GACGAACGCUGGCGGCGUGCUUAACACAUGCAAGUCGAACGGAAAGGCCCUGCUUUUGUGGGGUGCUCGAGUGGCGAACGGGUGAGUAACACGUGAGUAACCUGCCCUUGACUUUGGGAUAACUUCAGGACACUGGGGCUAAUACCGGAUAGGAGCUCCUGCUGCAUGGUGGGGGUUGGAAAGUUUCGGCGGUUGGGGAUGGACUCGCGGCUUAUCAGCUUGUUGGUUGGGUAGUGGCUUACCAAGGCUUUGACGGGUAGCCGGCCUGAGAGGGUGACCGGCCACAUUGGGACUGAGAUACGGCCCAGACUCCUACGGGAGGCAGCAGUGGGGAAUAUUGCACAAUGGGCGGAAGCCUGAUGCAGCAACGCCGCGUGCGGGAUGACGGCCUGCGGGUUGUAAACCGCUUUCGCCUGUGACGAAGCGUGAGUGACGGUAAUGGGUAAAGAAGCACCGGCUAACUACGUG
rnacentral:rRNA from 1 species